GACGAACCGUGCGAACGUUGUUCGGAAUCACUGGGCUUAAAGGGAGCGUAGGCGGGCUAUCAAGUCUGGGGUGAAAUGCCGCGGCUCAACCGUGGAACUGCCUCAGAUACUGACGGCCUCGAGGAAGAUAGGGGCAUGCGGAACUGUGAGUGGAGCGGUGAAAUGCGUUGAUAUUCACAGAAACUCCGGUGGCGAAAGCGGCGUGCUGGAUCUUUUCUGACGCUGAGGCUCGAAAGCUAGGGGAGCAAACGGG
rnacentral:rRNA from 1 species